rnacentral:rRNA from 1 species
AUUGAACGCUGGCGGCAUGCCUUACACAUGCAAGUCGAACGGCAGCACGGGUGCUUGCACCUGGUGGCGAGUGGCGAACGGGUGAGUAAUAUAUCGGAACGUACCUUAUUGUGGGGGAUAACGCAGCGAAAGCUGUGCUAAUACCGCAUAAUCCCUAAGGGGGAAAGCGGGGGACCGUAAGGCCUCGCGCAAUUAGAGCGGCCGAUACCUGAUUAGCUAGUUGGUGAGGGAAAGGCUCACCAAGGCAACGAUCAGUAGCUGGUCUGAGAGGCCGAUCAGCCACACUGGGACUGAGACACGGCCCAGACUCCUACGGGAGGCAGCAGUGGGGAAUUUUGGACAAUGGGGGCAACCCUGAUCCAGCAAUGCCGCGUGAGUGAAGAAGGCCUUCGGGUUGUAAAGCUCUUGUGUCAGGGAAGAAACAGCAGCUCUAACACAGUAUGCGAAUGACGGUACCUGAAGAAUAAGCACCGGCUAACUACGUGCCAGCAGCCGCCGCCG